rfam:Escherichia vulneris NBRC 102420 DNA, contig: EV10242007.
UCAGUUUGGGGCAAAAUAUGUCGCCUGCAAAAAAUGACACUAACCGACGUUAAACGCGUCGGUUAUUUUUUUGC